AUGGCGGUGCUGGGGGCGCAGAAGCUGGUGUACGUGGCGGGGUGGGCGGUGGGCGCUAGGGUGAGGCUGCUGCGGGAGGAGAUGUCGCCGGAGAUGGCGGAGAAGGCGGCGGAGGUGAGGGCGCUGGCCGGCGUGGAGGUGGAGAAGAUGGCGCUGGGGGAUCUGCUCAAGUACAAGUCGCAGGAGGGCGUGCGCGUCUGCCUCCUCGUCUCCGACCACCAUGACACUCCCCUGCACCCCAGCUUCUUCUUAAACACGGGAGGAAUGAUGCAAACUAGUGGCGAAGAAACGAAGAAGUUUUUCAAACAGUCGUCUGUGAUUUGUGUACUCUCGCAUCGCUAUCCUAGAAGCAAAGUCGACAUGGCCAAGCAAAAGGUGGUGGGCACGCCGUACGCGCACAACCAGAAGUGCAUCCUCGUCGACACGCCGGCGUCCGAGGCCACCCGCCGGAUCACGGCCUUCCUGGGCGGCCUUGACCUUGCUGCCGGACGCUACGACACGCCGGCCCACCGGCUCUUCGGAGACCUCGACACCGUCUUCCGGGCCGACAUCCACAACCCCACGCUCGGCCACGCCGCCGCGGAGAACGGGCCCCGUCUGCCGUGGCACGACAUGCACUGCCGCCUCGACGGCGCCGCCGCGUACGACGUCCUCAAGAACUUCGAGCAGCGGUGGCGGAGAGCGACGGCCAAGCACUUGAAGGCGUCCAAGCACGGGAAGGACGAUGCCCUGCUCAAGCUCCAGCGCAUCCCCUGGAUCCUCAGCCCGGUCGUCGCCGACGGCGGGGACGACGCCCUGCGCGUCCUGCCGGAGGAUGAUCCCCGGUGCUGGCACGCGCAGGUGUUCCGGUCGGUGGACGCCGGGUCGGUGAAGGGGUUCCCGCGCUCCUGGGAGACGGAGGAGAUGGAGGCGCGGCACCUGCUCUGCGACAAGAGCCUGGCGGUGGAGCAGAGCAUCCACGCGGCGUACGUGGCGGCGAUCCGCGCCGCCGACCGGUUCGUGUACCUCGAGACCGAGCGCUUCCUGGGGUCAUCGUACGCGUGGCCGACGCCGUUCCGGCACCCGGGCGCCGGCAACCUGGUGCCGAUGGAGAUUGCGCUGAAGGCGGCGAGCAAGAUCAGGGCCGGCGAGGACUUCGCGGCGUACGUGGUGCUGCCGAUGUGGCCGGCGGCGGAGGGGCCGCCUGGGUCGGCGCCGGCGCAGGAGGCCCUCUUCUGGCAGGGGAAGACGAUGCAGGCGAUGUACGAGGUCGUCGCGUCGGCGAUCGUGGAGGCCGGGGACGGCGGCAGAGCGCACCCGCAGGACUAUCUCAACUUCUACUGCCUCGGCAACCGCGAACAGGCACCGGCGGAUCUGUACGGACGGGCGGCGGAGACAGGGGCGAGCCCGGCGGCGCUGGCGCGGAGGCACGGGCGGUUCAUGGUGUACGUGCACUCCAAGGGGAUGGUCGUGGACGACGAGUACGUGCUCCUCGGCUCCGCGAACGUCAACCAGCGCUCCCUCUCUGGCUCCCGCGACACCGAGAUUGCCGUCGGCGCGCACCAGCCGCACCACACCGGCCGGCGGCCGCGCGGGCAGGUGCACCGGUACAGGAUGUCGCUGUGGGAGGAACACCUGGGCGGGCUGGCUGAGGUGCUGAAGGCGCCGGAGUCGCCAGAGUGCGUGAGGCUGGUGAACCAGGUGGCCCGGGAGAACUGGGAGAGGUACGCGGACGAGGGGGAGGUGGUAGAGAAGAUGCAGGGGCACCUGAUGAGGUAUCCGGUGGAGGUGGACGACGACGGCAGCGUGUGGCCGCUGACGGGGCACGAGUUCUUCCCCGACGUCGGCGCCAGGGUCCUCGGCUCCACCAACAAGUUCCCCGAUCAUCUCACUAUGUAG
rnacentral:rRNA from 1 species